rnacentral:rRNA from 1 species
ACUCCUGCGGGAGGCAGCAGUGGGGAAUUUUGGACAAUGGGCGAAAGCCUGAUCCAGCAAUGCCGCGUGAGUGAAGAAGGCCUUCGGGUUGUAAAGCUCUUUUGUCAGGGAAGAAACGGUGAAAGCUAAUAUCUUUUGCUAAUGACGGUACCUGAAGAAUAAGCACCGGCUAACUACGUGCCAGCAGCCGCGGUAAUACGUAGGGUGCAAGCGUUAAUCGGAAUUACUGGGCGUAAAGCGUGCGCAGGCGGUUUUGUAAGUCUGAUGUGAAAUCCCCGGGCUCAACCUGGGAAUUGCAUUGGAGACUGCAAGGCUAGAAUCUGGCAGAGGGGGGUAGAAUUCCACGUGUAGCAGUGAAAUGCGUAGAUAUGUGGAGGAACACCGAUGGCGAAGGCAGCCCCCUGGGUCAAGAUUGACGCUCAUGCACGAAAGCGUGGGGAGCAAACAGGAUUAGAAACCCGAGUAGUCCCA